CAUACGCAAUUAGUCCAUGAAUACAGCGAGGGUUUGUGAACACGGUGGCAGCAGUUUCGAGGCCACGGUCAUGGCAGUGGGAAUUCAUUACAGGAGGAUGGCUCACCGGCGUCACGUGCAGAGGGUCGGAGAGAGAGAGGGGAGGAAUGGGUGCAUGGUUUCGUGGUCAUUUCUGAGGACUGACUGCCCAGCUGUAGGGCCGCGGUCUGCCGCUCGGUCUCGUCUUUUACUCCAUCUCUUUCCACACAUACGCCUCCUCUCUUUAUUUCUGUUGCUGUUCCUUUGUUCAUGGCAGACCCACACCCCACUACUCUCUCUCAUCUCUUAUUCCGGGAGAGGGUAAUCAUUUCCUUCAUCAUCACCUCCUAUUGCUGCCUCAGCUUGACUGCCCUCCCUUCCCCCAUGAAAGGAGGCGGAAGUGUUGGGGGAGAGAGGAGGAGGAGGAGGCGGCGGCAAAGGCUGGAUGACCCGGGAAAGGGAAGGACAUGCAGCUCAAGGAGAAGGAAAAAAGGAAGCUUUAUCCUUGAGGGGAAUGUUGUCUGGCUCGAGGUCCUUCGUUUCUCUUACAGAUUAUGCAGAUCUAUGUGAAGAGAUCUCGGACCAGGCUUCAUUCCCCCCAACGAUCGCUUCCGUCUCUCCACCUCUCGAUCCCCGGCACCGAUCGUUCGAUCGACUUGAUAGAUUGGCGUAAUGAUGGGGGUUUACGACUGUCUUUCUUUCUUUCGCGACCUUCUUGUCCAGAUUUCAUCCUGACAUGAGGCCAAAAAGCUUUCAUCAUGACCUCCUCCGAGGGGUUUCUCGUGUCUGCCUUCCUCCUUGCUCCCUGCGAAUCUGCAUGCUGAGUUACCUGCAAGAUUUCCAGGUCAACUGAGUUCAGAUCUCUUUUUCUCCCUUUUUCUUGGGGGCACGUUUCAGCUCAUCUCUUCUCUUCUUUUCUCGUGCUUGUUUGCCGGAACUGUUUAGGGUUCCUAAGAUUAUCUCUAUCUGUGGUUACAAGUUACUCUGCCACUGCCAUGAUAGCUACAAUAUGGCUUAUCUCUUAUCUACAUCAUGCUUUCCUCUUAGCACACUAGAAGAAUCUUUGGACAUGGAAGCAUAUGGUGCCCCUUCCAUUUUGAUACACAGGUGAUUAGGGCACAGUUGCUGGAAAUAUGAGAUUAGUUGAUGGCAUUUGCCUUCUUGAAACCCCCCCUUUAUCCUUAUAUGGCAGUACAUGUUUCUGCCUAUAUAUUGCCUUGUUGAAACCUGAAUCCACUACAUGUAUGUGUUGUCGUCGUCGUCGUCGUCGUCUUUGACAUACGCAUGUUGACUUCACGUCAUAUUUAUUCCCAUAAAUCUACAAGUGCAAACCUGCUCGAUAUCUUCUUUGAUGGAAACAAGAUGCACGAUCACAUGAACAGCAGUUGUCAUUGCCAUUCCCAUUGCCUAGUUUGCUUGUGCAGCUGAAGGAGGAAAGGCAUAGGCGCAGCAUGAAUCUGGAAACACGUGUGUGGGAAAGGUGGCCAUGCGAAUGAGGUACGGAGGGAUGGGAGAGGCAGAGAGGGGGCUCAGACCACAGCUUAGGGUUUCGUUCGCACACAGGAGGCAGAGAUGGCAGCUUUCGAUUCGGAGACUCCCACACGGAACCAGAAAACCUCAGCCUUUCACUCCCAAUACUUUUCUUUCGGUAACCGUCACUUCCAUUCUUCAUCCGAGCUUGCAUCCUCUUCUUGUUCCUUUCAUCUAGGUUAUGAAUGUUAAACAGACUCAUACAUUUCUCUCUCUCUCUCUCUCUCUCUCUCUCUCUCUCUCUUAUAGAUAGAGAUGGAUUUUGAAUGUUUUGUUGAAGGUCAACUUAAGCUUUUGUGCGAAUCGAUGAUGUUUGACUUUGAUUUUGGGGUUCCAUGAAGAGAAGAGCAUUGGAAAUGAUGGACUCUCCUACCUUUCUUUCUCAUCUUCCUUGGCGUGGAUCAGAUCAUUCGCCACCUCCUCAGGUUCAUGAUAUUGAAGUAGCGUUGCGAGGAUUCCUCACCGCUGAAGUAAUUAAUGCAUGUUAUAUGGGUUCCUAAGAGUACUAUUUCUUCUCUUAUUCUUGUAUGUUUGAGUUGAAAUAUCAUUUUAUUGCUCUCCUGUUGUACUACGAUGUAGACUAUACCUUAGCCAAAUCUUUUUGCAUUGAUGGAUAGUUUUAUUGCAACA